CCAUGAGUGCCGUGCGAGCUUUCAGCUCUUUUACGGGGAAGAGCCUCAAGUAUACACCCAUGGCCUGGCAGACCAAGAUGGAGUUCAUGAAAGCAACGUUAUUGUGUUUCCUUCCUGUUGGAUCCUGGGCAGUUUAUCAAGAGACAGAACUUUAUAAAAUAAGGACAGAUGACUCAUAUCUUGAUGAAAUCUUGAAGGGUUCAGAAGCAAUGACUCAGCCUGGAGCGCCCCAGAACACAGGAAUGACAAAACAACAGUUCCAGGCGCAGUAUUCUGAUAAAAUUAAUACAGAGGAAUCUAGAGUUAAGAAAAGAUUAGAAGAAGAGGCCUACGCUGCCCUGAAAUAAGGAAAUCUUAUUUAUUAGUUGGUUUUCAGAAUGGAAGCAGAUGAACUUUGGUGUGGACUCAAUUUGCUGUUUAGUGGCACAGUGUUUAUAUACAUCUUCAUCUUAUUUUCUAGAUUUGAGGGAUUUUGCCUCAGGGUUAUUGACUGGUAAUUUGAAAAACGGAGCAGUAUUUGAAGAAUAGAGCUGAGGAUAUAACUUGUGAAGAAUAGACUUGGAUUGUAGCUAAAUUUGAGGCUCGCUUGAGACCAUUCCCGUUUGCAAGAAACAGUGUACAAAUCAAGUUUAUAAUGAUUGAUUUGUAGUUAGUAGCACAUAGCAUUAUACCGUGACCCAUGGCCGUUCCGAUGAUUUGUCGGAAGUGUUGAAUUUUUGUGUUUAGAAUUGUUUACAGAUUGUUACUUUUAUAAAUUGUUUAAUUUAUUACCAUUUGAGUAAAUAAA